rfam:Picea glauca, whole genome shotgun sequence.
AUCUUUGCGCUUGGAUGACGUAGCUAGUGAGGUAAAACCGAGGCACAUCAAUUGUUGGUUGAAAAUUAUUUCCAACCCCUCUCGUUGGCCUAGGCUACGAUAUGGACUUCGAGAAUUUGUGGAGGGUCUGCCUUUGGC